AAUAAUUAUUUCAUAAACUUUUACAUAGCACUUAAUGUGUGCCAGAUGCUAUUCUAAGCACUUUACCAAAAUUAACUCAUUUAAUCUUCAUGAUCCUUACGGUAGUCUUACGGCCCAGUAUCUUCCACAUCUUCAUUUUAAAGGUAAGGAAACAAGUCACAGAGAGGUUAGGUAACUUGCGUGUGGUCAUUCUGUUAGUAGCUGGUGGAGCUGUGUGGCUCUAGACUGCGUCCUCCUAUGAUACACAGCCCUAGCCCCAUUCCCUGUAUACAGAUUUACUUAGUGAGCACUGGCUGCACUGCGGAAGCCCUGAACAUAUAGGCCACAUAGAUGAAUCAGAGAAUAACAAUGUUGCAUUUCAAGAAGGCACACGGUAGAGAUGUACUUGUGGGAGGUGGGGGAGAGCACUCCGGAUAAUUAAAUUUUUAGACCUCAUAGAGAAAUGAAAUGUUCUAUCACAGCAAUUAGUCAAGGAAUGCCUAAUUCAUGGAAAAAGCAGGAUUUAAAAUGACAUGAAGGAUAUGUUUGGCAGGCUAGACAAGGAGGGCUCUGCAAACAUAUGGCGUGGCCUGGGGCUGUCAGACAGUAGUGUCGCUGCAGGACACGGAGGAGACUGGCAGCGAGGCAGCAGGGUCGGCAGGAGCCCAUAAAGGUUCUGAUGACGCAUUCCUCAGGCCCAAUCCGUAGAGCAGGAGGAAUCUAACUGGUGUCCGAGAAGAUGUGUUUGACCUAUGGUGCCAGCCUUCAGUUUCUCAGAAGACAUAUGGGACCCAGAUAAAUCAGACAUUGAAUGCGCUGACGAGAGUCGCUGAGGACCCAAGAGAAAAGGCUUUUUUGGUUUGGAUUUCAUCUGUAUUUCACCACUUGAAAAUUCACUAUUGGCAUCGGGCAUGUAUAGACUCCCAUCAAGGCACACUGACCCUGAAAAAUGGCUGAGCUAAAAUAAAAGCUGUGUUUAUAACGCUGAAACGAAAUACUGAGUUCUAAAUCUGGUGAUUUAUCUUUUGACAGCUACAAAGUGCGAC
rnacentral:lncRNA from 10 species